AACACUGUUAACCUGCGGUACCUGCGGAGGGAUCAUUACACAAAUGAAAAUAUGAAGGCCCUUCAAACCGGCUGGAUUAUUUUUCUUCACCCUUGUCUUUUGCGCACUUGUUGUUUCCUGGGCGGGUUCGCUCGCCACCAGGACCACACCAUAAACCUUUUUGUUAAUGCAAUCAGCGUCAGUAAAAAGUAAUAAUUAUUUUACAACUUUUAACAACGGAUCUCAGAUCGGAAGAGCACA
rnacentral:misc_RNA from 1 species